UACAGGGGGUGCAAACGUUGACUCGGAAUCAUUGGGCGUAAAGCGCACGUAGGCGGUUCGUUAUGUCGGAUGUGAAAGCCCUUGGCUUAACCGAGGAAGUGCAUCCGAAACUGGCGAGCUAGAGUACGAAAGAGGAUCGCGGAAUUCCCGGUGUAGAGGUGAAAUUCGUAGAUAUCGGGAGGAACACCGGUGGCGAAGGCGGCGAUCUGGGUCGAUACUGACGCUGAGGUGCGAAAGCGUGGGGAGCAAACAGG
rnacentral:rRNA from 1 species